AUUGAACGCUAGCGGCAUGCCUUACACAUGCAAGUCGAACGGCAGCGGGGGAGCUUGCUCCCGCCGGCGAGUGGCGAACGGGUGAGUAAUACAUCGGAACGUACCCAGUAGCGGGGGAUAGCCCGGCGAAAGCCGGAUUAAUACCGCAUACGCCCUACGGGGGAAAGGGGGGGAGCGCAAGACCUCUCACUAUGGGAGCGGCCGAUGGCUGAUUAGCUAGUGGGUGGGGUAAAGGCCUACCAAGGCGACGAUCAGUAGCUGGUCUGAGAGGACGACCAGCCACACUGGGACUGAGACACGGCCCAGACUCCUACGGGAGGCAGCAGUGGGGAAUUUUGGACAAUGGGCGAAAGCCUGAUCCAGCAAUGCCGCGUGUGCGAAGAAGGCCUUCGGGUUGUAAAGCACUUUUGUCAGGGAAGAAAUCGUUUGGGUUAAUACCCCGAGCAGUUGACGGUACCUGAAGAAUAAGCACCGGCUAACUACGUGCCAGCAGCCGCGGUAA
rnacentral:rRNA from 1 species